GACGAACGCUGGCGGUAUGCCUAAUACAUGCAAGUCGAACGCUGAAGCACUCUGCUUGCAGAGUGCGGAUGAGUGGCGAACGGGUGAGUAACACGUGGGUAACCUGCCCAUAAGAGGGGGAUAACAGCCGGAAACGGGUGCUAAUACCGCAUAGGUGAACGGAGCGCAUGCUCUGCUCAUUAAAGAUGGCCUUGUGCUAUCGCUUAUGGAUGGACCCGCGGCGUAUUAGCUAGUUGGUGAGGUAAUGGCUCACCAAGGCGAUGAUACGUAGCCGACCUGAGAGGGUGAUCGGCCACACUGGGACUGAGACACGGCCCAG
rnacentral:rRNA from 1 species